GCCACCCAGGGAUCCCCUAGGAUUAUUUUUUAAUAGACUACUUUUUAGAACAGUUUAGGUUCUCAGCAAAAUUGAAAGUACAGGGAUUUCCCCUAUACCUUCUGGCCCCACAUGCACAGCCUCCCCUACUAAUACACCUCUACGAGAGCAGGACAUUUGUUCCAUUCAAACCUAUAAUGAUCCAUCAUCAUCAUCCAGAGUCCAGUUUACAUCAGGGUUUGCUCCUGGUGCUGUACUUUCUGUGGGUUUGGACAGAUCUGUCAUGACAUGGAUCCAUUAUAAUAUACAGAGUAGUUUUACAGCUGAGGAUUUGGUGUUUGUGUGCAGUGUGGAUGGUUCAUGGCGUAGAGCAUCCCGAUUGUUGUGCACAGUGCUAUCUACUUCAUUGGCUUUGGGACAUGGGCUGCUCCCACUGAGGUCAGCUGCUUUGGCCACACCUGGGAUGAGGUCAGUGGGUGUGACCCUUUAUGAGGGACAGGAACGGGCUGAAGGGUACUGGAGGCCAACAGGAUUUGACCUUAUGUGUCAGGAGGAGGGUGACCCAGAGGUGUCAGAUACCACUUUCACAAAUGAUCUAUCUCAUGGCACCCUCAGAACAGCCUGGCCAGGUGUAGCACCAGGACUGCAGGUACAGAGGCCUGAGGAAGGAGCCAUGAUAGAAGUUAUGCAAAUCCGUUAGUGUUUGCAAACAAGCCUGCCAAGGGACCUCCAGCACAUGACUGGUGUUCUCUGGGCUCUCUGCUUCCUCUUCUCUAAAGUGAGUGGGAGAAGUCGAACCUGCCCUGCCAUCCCAAGCCUGUGUGCAUACUACAAGCGAGGCAGCGCUGUCCCUUCCUUGGCUUUGCCUCCCAGCCUUUGCUAUAAGCAGCCCAUCACCUUUUUUCAGUGGCAUGCAAUCGUGGCGACCUCUGCUGCAGUCUGUCCCUGCCCUUCAGACGUUCUGUCCAGCCUGUUUUGAAGAUCACCCACAUCGUAGGGCUGCCGUGGCUGAGGGAAGACCCCACCCCAGAAAGUGGGAAAGAGAAAGGGAGAAGGCGCUUCUGGUCUUGCCGCCUUCAAACUCCAAGGAGCAGCCAGUUGACCUCACCAGCUCUCUGGAGAUGAAGGCUGUGUGCACUGGGGUAUCAUGAGGCAUUGCUUGUGGCUGGGGUGCAGAAGGCCCUCUGUGCCCUGGACUCUACACCAUCAAAUGUGGUAGAAACAGUGCUCAGAGCCGCUUCUUUGGGCCUCAAGCCCCCUGCAGGGGAGGGGCACUGGAACCCUGCCACAUGAUGCUUCCUAUAGGAAUUUUCAUACCCUAGCAGCUGCCACCCCAACCCCAGUCCCUGAAACAAAGCCCUUUUCUUUUGGAAGCCA